AAGCUUCCCUGUGAUUUUAGAGUUUGACCAGGAUUGAGAAAUACUGCCGUAAUUAUAAUGGAUUGAGCACCCAUGACCCAUCCCCACCCCAAGACUAAUACCCAAACUGUUGGGGGACCGGCCAGGAGACUGAAGAGAAGCACAGUGGACGUUCUGUGUGCGGCUGCAUCUCAGAUUGCAGUAGCCCCUGCCAGACUCCUCACGCCCACCUGCGAUAGAACGCUGCUCCUCUCCCCACAUCCCUGCGCUCCUCUGAACCCUGGAGCAGGCAGCAGCGAAGAGUCAGGCUGGAGACUCCUCCCAAACAAGUCAAUGGCGAGCGAAGCAAGCGCUCUAGACCUGUGCGGUCCAAUGCAGCUGCCACCGGACACAGGGGGAGACCCAGCACUUGAAAUGAAGCCAGUGCAAAUUGAGAUGUGCUGUAGCUAUAAAAUACACACCAGAUUUUGAAUACUUAGUAUAAAAAGAGAGUGUAAAAUGUCUCAUUAAUCAUUUUAUGUUGAUUACGUUUUGAAAUGAUACUGUUUUUGAUAUACUGG
rnacentral:lncRNA from 1 species